GCUAGGUGUGGUGGUGCACACCUGUAGUCCCAGCUACUUAGGAAGCUAAGGCAGGAGAAUGACUUGAGUCCAGGAUUUUGAGGUUGCUGUGAGCUACAAUGAUGCCACGGCACUGUACCCAAGGGUGACAGAAUGAGGCUCUGUCUCAAAAAAAAAAAAAAAAAAGGAAAGAGCUAACCCUUCUGUAGGUCAUUCAUAUAUAUAUGAAUGUGUGUGUGUGUAUAUAUGUGUGUGUGUGUGUGUGUUUUUAAAGACAGUCUCAUUAUGUCACCCUCGGUAGGGUGCCGUGGCAUCACAGCUCAUAGCAACCUCAAACUCUUGGGCUUGAGCCAUUCUCUUGCCUUAA
rnacentral:SRP_RNA from 1 species